GACAGAGGAUGCAAGCGUUAUCCGGAAUGAUUGGGCGUAAAGCGUCUGUAGGUGGCUUUUUAAGUCCGCCGUCAAAUCCCAGGGCUCAACCCUGGACGGGCGGUGGAAACUACCAAGCUGGAGUACGGUAGGGGCAGAGGGAAUUUCCGGUGGAGCGGUGAAAUGCGUAGAGAUCGGGAAGAACACCAGCGGCGAAAGCGCUCUGCUGGGCCGACACUGACACUGAGAGACGAAAGCUAGGGGAGCGAAUGGG
rnacentral:rRNA from 1 species